ACGCUGGCGGCAGGCCUAACACAUGCAAGUCGAGCGGUAGAGAGAAGCUUGCUUCUCUUGAGAGCGGCGGACGGGUGAGUAAUGCCUAGGAAUCUGCCUGGUAGUGGGGGAUAACGUUCGGAAACGGACGCUAAUACCGCAUACGUCCUACGGGAGAAAGCAGGAGACCUUCGGGCCUUGCGCUAUCAGAUGAGCCUAGGUCGGAUUAGCUAGUUGGUGGGGUAAUGGCUCACCAAGGCGACGAUCCGUAACUGGUCUGAGAGGAUGAUCAGUCACACUGGAACUGAGACACGGUCCAGACUCCUACGGGAGGCAGCAGUGGGGAAUAUUGGACAAUGGGCGAAAGCCUGAUCCAGCCAUGCCGCGUGUGUGAAGAAGGUCUUCGGAUUGUAAAGCACUUUAAGUUGGGAGGAAGGGCAGUAAAUUAAUACUUUGCUGUUUUGACGUUACCGACAGAAUAAGCACCGGCUAACUCUGUGCCAGCAGCCGCGGUAAUACAGAGGGUGCAAGCGUUAAUCGGAAUUACUGGGCGUAAAGCGCGCGUAGGUGGUUCGUUAAGUUGGAUGUGAAAUCCCCGGGCUCAACCUGGGAACUGCAUUCAAAACUGACGAGCUAGAGUAUGGUAGAGGGUGGUGGAAUUUCCUGUGUAGCGGUGAAAUGCGUAGAUAUAGGAAGGAACACCAGUGGCGAAGGCGACCACCUGGACUGAUACUGACACUGAGGUGCGAAAGCGUGGGGAGCAAAC
rnacentral:rRNA from 1 species